rnacentral:rRNA from 1 species
AUUGAACGCUGGCGGCAGGCUUAACACAUGCAAGUCGAGCGAGCGGCGGACGGGUGAGUAAUGUCUGGGAAACUGCCUGAUGGAGGGGGAUAACUACUGGAAACGGUAGCUAAUACCUCAUACCAUCAGAUGUGCCCAGAUGGGAUUGGCUAGUAGUUGGGGUAAUGGCUCACCUCGGCGACGAUCCCUAGCUGGUCUGAGAGGAUGACCAGCCACCCGGGAACUGAGACACGGUCCAGACGCCGACGGGAGGCAGCAUUGGGGAACAUUGCGCAAUGGGCGGAAGCCUGAUGCAGCCAUGCCGCGUGUGUGAAGAGGGCCAUCGGGUUGUAAAGCACUUUCAGCGAGGAGGCGUUACUCGCAGAAGAAGCACCGGCUAACUCCGUGCCAGCAGCCGCGGUAAUUC